rnacentral:misc_RNA from 1 species
UCACAUUUAGUGGUAUCAGAGCAUCGGUUUAGGCAUUUCUAGGCCUAGAUAGAGUACAUACCAUUGCAUUGCAUUUGUAAGUGUUGAGGUGACACUGAUGCAGAUUUGUUUGUUUUCUUAUUUUGAAUAGGAUAUGAAUCCUGCUUCGCAAAGAGCAGUUGAGGAAGAGGUGGAGAGUCGUGCUCUAUCACGGGCUGAAUCUGGGGGCAAGGUAGAAUCUGCUCCACCAGCAGCUGAGGCACCUGCCCAACCUCAGUUUGCUCUAUUACAACAAAUGACUAAAUUCUACCGGCAAAUGAUGGGGGCAAUUCUACUACCACAACCACAGCCACAACCACCACCAGCACCACAGAAAUCUCAUUUGGAGAAAUUGAGAAAGCAUGGGGCUGUGGACUUCUUUGGGAAGAGGGAGGAUGAUCCCAUGGCCGCAGAAAACUGGUAGGAUAGAACCAUCAGAGUGCUGAAACAGCUAAAUUGCACCCCCGAGCAGAACCUGGUGGGUGCUGUGUCCCUACUUCAGGAUGAUGCAUAUCAGUGGUGGGACACAGUAACCAGUGAGGUGCAACCUGAACGGAUCACCUGAGAAUUCUUCCUCACAGAGUUCAGGGAGAAAUAUAUUAGCAAAGUGUAUUUAGAAGAGCGAAGAAGGGAAUUUAUCAGUUUGAGACAGAGACAGUUGUCAGUGGCUGAGUAUGAGCGUGAGUUAGUCAGACUAAGCCGGUAUGGGAGGGAGAUAGUUGUCAGUGGCU